UUAAAAAAAAACAUUUUGAUUCGGCAUAUUGACAAACAUUUGAACAUAAGCUCUGAUGAGAUCACCGAAAAGGUAUUGAAAAAAAAAAUUAAACAUAUCACAUUUUUAUGUCUAUUUAUAAAUAUUACGUAUUUUUUUAACUGUUUUAAAAUUACUGAUUUGCUAUGUUGAAUCUAGAUAAAUCUUGUUCAAUCUAGCUAAUGCCUGUAAUGCCUGAAAUUACAGUUGUGCAAUCGAAGUCAUUUUAAAGACAUACUGUUGAAGCACCACAACAGCAACAGAAAAUAUAAGAGAUGCCAGAAAAAGAGUUGUUUGGUGGUGCCUUUUCAGCAUUUCUUCCUGAUGGAGCUAAAGAUGUCAGUGACUUCAGACAAAUUCCAGACAAUCAAGAAGUAUUUACACAUGCUGAAACAGACCAGAGUGUAAUUAUAGAGAUUAUGGAACAUGUAGAAGGAGGAGAUGAUGUAGCCAUUAAAACCCAUUUUGAAGAUUUAGCCCAAGGCAAUGAUGUAUCACCACAAGAUAGUGAGAUAAUACAUACAGAACAGAUAUCAGAUGACAAGUUGUCCAGUGAACAUUUUGAUAGUGCCUGGUACAUCUUAGGACAACAGAAUGUGGCCAAGUUUAAUGAGGUUGCAAAGAACACUAUAAGCAUCCACAUGGGACUUAUCAGAUUAUCAGAGUUUGAAUCGGAUGUACUGAUAACAUUCAAUGAUCCUGUCAAUAUAGAGUAGGUACCAUCGGGGAGAGGGGAGAGUUUGAAUCGGAUGUACUGAUAACAUUCAAUGAUCCUGUCAAUAUAGAGUAGGUACCAUUGGAGAGAGGGGAGAGUUUGAAUCGGAUGUACUGAUAACAUUCAAUGAUCCUGUCAAUAUAGACCCAUCCAGUAGUAGUCACCAUGCUGUACCUACACAUUGUAUCAGAUGGUCCGUAGAAGAUUUUAAACAGCUGCUGAUGUCAUUCAAGCUUCAUGAUACAGGGAUAUUUGGUGUAUAAUGACAGCUGAUAUGAUAUAAUAUCCACCCCCAUGGAUAAUAAAUAGUUCAUAAACAUCAAUAAGAAUUGUAAUAUCGUAUGACAGAUUAUUUAGUGGGUGUGAAAAUUUAGCAAUUUAUCGCAAUAGUUGUGGAAUUUGCAUGGAAAAAUUGCUAAUGUGAAUUUAGAUUUAGUAAAAAAAUUGGCACAUUUAAAAAGAAUGCCAACAAUGCCAAAAUUUGCACCCUGCUAAGAUAAUCUGUGAUGUGGUAGCAUGUAGAAACUAUUGUAAUGUGAAGGGCCAUUCCAGAAAAAUGACCAUACAGGGAAAGGGAGGGUCUGAAGUAUUGUUACUUUAUAAAAAUGUUAGCAGUGAUUGGUAGUAUCAUGCAACUAUGGUAUAAUCAGGGAAAAAAAUUCCAAGGUUAAGGUUUGUAAAAUGUCACAGAACCGAUUAUGUGUUUAUUUCUGGAAUAGCUCUAGGUAUAAAGUGUGUUUUUUAAACUCUGGAAUCAUUUAUAACAUUUAAAGCUUAUCUGAUUAACCACACAGUUUUAAUAUGGUGAAAUAGCACAUAUGAUAUCUAAAUUUAAUAUAUAGAUCAUAAUAACUAUGAUUUUUUCUUUUUAUAGAGUUAUCUCCAAUGAUGAAAAAUGAAAUGUUUUUGUCUAUUUUGCCAAAAUCUUUUAAGAACAUAUCAAUAUUAUACAUUUUGAUGGAUGUUUUAUUUCAUCCAUGAUUUACUUAAUGCUUGUAUGUAGACUUUGGUAAAACCAUGAAAUCAAAUAUCAAAUAUUCAUGAACAAAAAAACAAUUUUUAUACAAUCCACAAAAUUUGUUACCCAAAAAAAAUUAAGUGUAUUAUCAGAAAAAGUGAUUGAUUUUUGAUUUUUUGAAAUAAGUUUGAUAAAGAAGACAUUUAGAUUUUGAAACAUAAGUAUUUUGUUUUAAACUUACUCCUCUAAUGUUGACAUAAAUUUUUAAACCAUUGAAUGCAUGAUGACCUAUUUUUUAAUGCAAAAAAUUUCUUACAAAUUUUCAUGUUCAUAAUAUUUGUAAAAGAUUUAAGUCAUUAGGGACCAGUAUUGAUAUUAAAAGACCAACUGAAGAACUCUGAGAUAAAAUCAGAUAGCUUAUGAAAUUAUUGUAUAAAAAUUGGUGUAUCAACUAAUGUUUUACUUGUAUCAAGUUUCUUCCAUAUUACUUUAUUUUUAGAUUAAAAAAGUAAACAAAUAUUUUAUGUUAUUUGCACUGUAAAAUAGUAUAUAAAAUACUAUAAGCCAUUAUUUUUACAUGAACAAUAUGUUUCUUUAUAAGUUAUUGAUGAUAUUAUGCAGAAAUAAAAGUUCACAAAAUUGUUUGCCUUAUCUGCUUCAUGUCCAAAUUCUUGAUUUUCACCCAAAAAAAACAUUUUUGUCUUUUAUAUGAAGUAUAUUUGUACUAUGAGGGGGGGGGGGGGGGGGGGGGGGGGGGGGGUAGGAGGGGUCCUGAUCCCGAAAUCCCGGGCUUAAUAUCAUGGACUCUUGAGGUCCCGAAUUUAAAAAAAAAUUUAAAUCCAGACAUCCCGAAAUUCGAAAAAAGAAUUCCCGGAUCCCGAAAGGAUCAAUCCUGAAAUCUGAGCUUAAAAACACCCGAUCCCGCAAUCCUGAUAAAGGUCCUACCCCCCCCCCCCCACCACCACCACUAUGCACAAAAAAGGAAAGGAAUGAUUGGCAAGUCUUAUAUGUCUACCUGUUUCUAAAACUUCUAAAAAUAAAUUAUUUGUUUGCAGUUUGCAAGCAAUUUAUGGUUAUUCUGUAUUUAGAUAUUGAUUGUUUAAAUAAAUUGAGAUGAGUAUAGUUUGUUUUUUAUAUGAAAUAUAUUUGUAAUCUGUACAUUAAAACAGGAAAGAAAUGAUCGUCAAACUUCUUAUUUUUACCUGUUUCUAAGACUUUUUCAAAUAUAUAUAUUCAUAGACUAUUUAUGCUUAUUCAGUAUUAAGACAUUGAUUGAUUUUAACUGAGACAAGUACAAAAAUGUACUAUGAUUUUGAAAUGUGUGAUUUAAAGACUUAUGAAUGUAAAUUGUCUUGGAAAACAUGAUUUAUCUUUAUGAGGUUUAGAAGGUGGUAAAAAAACUUGUUGUCCAAUCAUUUCUUGGCAGCUGUAUGUUUAUUACAAAUAUAAACAUUUAUAUCUGAAGAAAUAUGUACUGUGGAUUAAUUUAUUAAGACUUAACUAAAAUCUUUAGAUUAGUAUAUCGAUUGUUAGAUGUUAAAAUUUAAUGCAUGACUGUAUAUUUUUGUAAGAAAUAAACUAUUCUCAGAAGACCAAUUUA